GAACCUGGGGAAGUAGUUGUGUCAUAUAUGAUGUAACAUAUGUGUGCAUUUAGCCAGCACCAAGCUGCAAGAGAAUGGUGGAGUGCUACCUUAGUAACUGGAAUAUACCAGGUUCUGCUACCAUUGUGCAUUUGUGUCGCGAUAAUGACAAAUAGGUUGUCAAUAACCUCCAUAUUUAAAUAAGUAACCACAUCUACAUAAUGUUGUGUUGUAUAAACCAUGUUAAACAAAACCUUAUCCAUACUUUUAUUUUCAAUGGAAAUUAUUGUUUUAAAAUAUAAUAAAAUAUAAAAUGCACUUAUGUACUUUAUAAUUUUAUGAGAUAACUUUCUUCUCUACAAUGUAUUUUAUGCAUCCUCCCCUACUAUUUUUGUCAAUACUAUAAAGCUAAAUAUUAAUAAGUUUCCUCUUCAUUUGUUGCAAAAAAAUCUCACAGUAUUUUUUAAACAAAUGACUUUCUUUUAUUUCAUACAUACAACACACCAAGUAAUAACAUAUAAAAAAUAAUUAAAUUUAUGACAAAUUAUUUACAAUUUCAUCCAUGAAGACACAAUGCAACCAGUUACAACAUAUACUUGGUAUUGAUACUUGAUAGUAUUUAAGGUUGGUUGGAAUAAUAAAAAUAUUGACACAUGAAUGUGAUGCCGGAUAAAUAAAUGAAGGUGAAACAUGGUCUCAAUUUUUCAAGUUUGUCAUAAAAAGUAGAAAGCUUAAUGUCAGCUAUACAUUUGGUGUACAACGCACAGAUAAGGUGUUGUACACUAAGUUCAACAGACUCAUUGUUAUCUUUACACAUACGGACAUAUUUAAAUAAACACAUCAAUGCCUCAAAACUUCGCCCUUUUUUUCCAUAGCAUUCACCAAGCCUUAAAUAAGCAUGUUUGCAGAUGUUCCUGGCACUUGGUUGGCUGCCUUUUACCAUAGACAUUACUUUAUGCCAACACUUAAUUGCAAUGUCAAACUUUCCAGUAAAUGGCGCAGAAUCGGCAUACUUUUGUAACAUUCUUGAUUUCAUUACUUCAUCACAAAAUUGACCAUCGUAGGUUUGUUUCAGUUGAUCAAAAACUUGAAGCGAGAUUUCAAAAACAUGACAUGCUUCGUGGUGUUUACUGAGCUCAUGCAGACAAAUUCCAAAUGCUUGAAUGAAAGUGAAUUUUUCACGUAGACUACAUGUUGAUUCUUUUACUGCAUGCAACAAUUGAAACAACUCAACAAUCUGAACGUCUGAAACAGGCAAACCCAACUUGAUAAAACAUUUUAACUCCCAAAGCUUUACUUUAAACCUAACAAGGUCAAAAUUUGGACACAGAGGAUCCAAGUUUUGGCAGAUCUCCAAACAAAGCUCAUAUUCUUCCUUGGACACCUGUUGUUUAGAUAGCAACGAUCCAAUACCAGACAAACAAGCAUUGCUACUAUGUUUUGUCUGGUUAGGCAAAGACAAUUUUCUAAUUUCUGCAUGCAGCUCCGAUUGGAAGUUACACAUCAACAAGGCUAUGAUCUUUCCAUCCCAUCUUUCUUGCAAACAGCAAAGUUUCAGUGAUAGUGUUCCAUAAAAACAUCAUCUUGUUGUCCCUUUGAAUGAUAAACUUUAGCACGAACCUCACAAGCCACUGCCACCAUGAAGCGCAGAUGAUGAGCCACCUCUUCACUAAAUUCUCCUAUUUCUUCUAAUUUAUUGAAGACAUCAAAACAAGAAGAUUCUCUCAAUGAACAAAAUCGACCGAAUGCUGAAACAAAGAUGGUUGCACUUCUAUAUAUCACUCGCUUCAUGUUGUAAUUUUGAUGUCCUGAAAAUGACUUGACUUGUUGAAGAACAACAUUUAGGUUUGCCAAGUCAUUCCCAAUUUGAUUACGUAAUGCAGUAAAGUUGCUUCUUUCGUCAUUGAGUUUUGUUGUAGAAUGUGCCUUGUCUUGAUAAUCAACAAAAACAUUCCCAUCACCAGCUCAAAACAUGUCUUUGAUAAAACAUCAGCCAAGUAAUAUCCCUGCUUCAGAUCUUCAUCACUGUCCAAGUACUUUAUCAUUUUAUCUACUGGUUUAAUAAGUUCGGUUCUCCAUGGUUUGUUUUUAGUCAAUGGCCGUCCCAGUGGAAGUUUGCAAGCAUGAGCUACCAUCCCGUCAAACGUAACCCCAUUGGGUUGGGUGAAUAAAUAAAUAAAAAUACCUGGGGUUUAUACUUGGAAUUGCAACACAGUUGAUCAUGGUUUCUCCGAGGUUGAUUAAGAUGAUGCAGAAGAUUGUGGUGAACCAUCUGAAGUACUUUAUGAUCAUCAGCCGAUCUUCCCUUUGAGAAACUUCAUUUUCAAGAACAAUGAUGUGUUCGAAAUCUGAAUACGGGGUGAUUUCUGCUCGUACCAAAGAACCCAUUCCAACAAGAGCAUAUUUACAAGGUGGUUUACCCAUGAUCAAAAUACAUUCAUCACAUAUGAAUCUCAUUAACUCUGUGUACCUUCUCGUAAUUUUAUCCUGAAGAUUUUGAACAUCUGUAAUCUUUUUCUUUUCCAUUUCAAGUAAUAGAUCACCUUCUACAUUAUAUGGAAUUAUUUCAAGUUGAUUAAAACCUUCACCAAAAUCUUUCCGAAAUUCAGUAAGGAUGGUUUUUACAGUAGAAGCAAGAAAAAGUAAAUUAUAAUCAAAUCUUAUCGCCCCAGAUUUCUUCAAAGUAUUGGAACAAAAACUUUGCAAAUCACUUUUAAUUUGAUUAUUUUGUGGAUCUCUUACAAUAGCAGCAUUUAAGAGAGCUGCAGUGCGCAGAGCAUUUAGCUUUUUAUUUUUAUUUUUUCUUUCAUAAAUCUUAGCAAGCUUAUGAAAUAU